GAUAUACUCCCUCCGUUCGGAAUUACUUGUCUCGGAAAUGGAUGUAUGUAGAACUAAAAUAUGUCUAGAUACAUCCAUUUCUGCGACAAGUAAUUCCGAACGGAGGGAGUACAUC
rnacentral:pre_miRNA from 1 species